rnacentral:rRNA from 1 species
UGGAUCCAGACUUUGAUUCUGGCUCAGGACGAACGCUGGCGGCGUGCCUAACACAUGCAAGUCGAACGAGAAUCUCAUGUGUGAACCCUUCGGGGGGAACUUUUGAGAGGAAAGUGGCGGACGGGCGAGUAACGCGUGAGAACCUGCCCAUAAGAGGGGGAUAAUCCUUGGAAACGAGGACUAAUACCGCAUAUUGAAGCGAUACCGCAUGGUAAUGCUUUGAAAGCUUUAGCGCUUGUGGAUGGACUCGCGUCAGAUUAGAUAGUUGGAGAGGUAACGGCUCACCAAGUCGACGAUCUGUAGCCGAACUGAGAGGUUGAUCGGCCGCAUUGGGACUGAGACACGGCCCAGACUCCUACGGGAGGCAGCAGUGGGGAAUAUUGCACAAUGGGGGAAACCCUGAUGCAGCAACGCCGCGUGCAGGAAGAAGGUCUUCGGAUUGUAAACUGUUGUCGCAGGGGAAGAAGACAGUGACGGUACCCUGUGAGAAAGUCACGGCUAACUACGUGCCAGCAGCCGCGGUAAUACGUAGGUGACAAGCGUUGUCCGGAUUUACUGGGUGUAAAGGGCGCGUAGGCGGGAUAGCAAGUCAGCCGUGAAAUGCCGAGGCUUAACCUCGGAGCUGCGGUUGAAACUGUUAUUCUUGAGUAUCGGAGAGGAAAGCGGAAUUCCUAGUGUAGCGGUGAAAUGCGUAGAUAUUAGGAGGAACACCAGUGGCGAAGGCGGCUCUCUGGACGACAACUGACGCUGAGGCGCGAAAGUGUGGGGAGCAAACAGGAUUAGAUACCCUGGUAGUCCACACCGUAAACGAUGGAUACUAGG